rnacentral:rRNA from 1 species
GUGGGGAAUCUUGCGCAAUGGGCGAAAGCCUGACGCAGCCAUGCCGCGUGAAUGAUGAAGGUCUUAGGAUUGUAAAAUUCUUUCACCGGGGACGAUAAUGACGGUACCCGGAGAAGAAGCCCCGGCUAACUUCGUGCCAGCAGCCGCGGUAAUACGAAGGGGGCUAGCGUUGCUCGGAAUUACUGGGCGUAAAGGGCGCGUAGGCGGACAGUUUAGUCAGAGGUGAAAGCCCAGGGCUCAACCUUGGAAUUGCCUUUGAUACUGGCUGUCUUGAGUACGGGAGAGGUGAGUGGAACUCCGAGUGUAGAGGUGAAAUUCGUAGAUAUUCGGUGGAACACCAGUGGCGAAGGCGGCUAACUGGACUGAUACUGACGCUGAGGUGCGAAAGUGUGGGGAGCAAACAGGAUUAGAAACCCGAGUAGUCC